rnacentral:tRNA from 1 species
GGGGAAAUAGCUCAGGGGUAGAGCGCUUGCUUAGCAGAAAUCGUCACGGUUUGCAUGAGGCCCGGGGUUCAAUUCCCCGUUUCUCCA